UGAGGAAUAUUGGUCAAUGGGCGCAAGCCUGAACCAGCCAUCCCGCGUGCAGGAAGAAAGCGCUAUGCGUUGUAAACUGCUUUUCCAGGGGGCGAACGUUUCGUACGUGUACGGGAGUGACGGUACCUUGGGAAUAAGCAUCGGCUAACUCCGUGCCAGCAGCCGCGGUAAUACGGAGGAUGCGAGCGUUAUCCGGAUUUAUUGGGUUUAAAGGGUGCGUAGGCGGAUUAAUAAGUCAGUGGUGAAAGCCUGCAGCUUAACUGUGGCACUGCCGUUGAUACUGUUAGUCUUGAGUAUGGUCAAGGUAGGCGGAAUGUGUAAUGUAGCGGUGAAAUGCUUAGAUAUUACACAGAACACCGAUUGCGAAGGCAGCUUACUGGGCCGUUACUGACGCUGAUGCACGAAAGCGUGGGGAUCGAACAG
rnacentral:rRNA from 1 species